rnacentral:lncRNA from 10 species
AAUUACAAACACAACACCUCAACAACACCUCAUGAGCAGGCCCUUCCUGACGCCCUUGACUCCGGCCUGUCCUGAGGCAUGCAGAUGCCACUCACCUCCAAGUUCUCCAGAACCUCUGGGACACCAAAGACCCUGACCUCGGAGGUGGUGUAGUGGUUGCUCAGAAGGAUUUCAGACUGCUUGGCAUAGAGAUCUGGGCUGAAGGGUACUGGCCAGCUGGCAAAUGACACGGAGUUCAGCCUUGUCCUCACACAGCGAGGGAAGGACGGGGAGGUUUGGAGCUGACAGUCAACAAAUGGGUAAUGGGCGGCCAUUAGUGAAGUGGCAGGAAGUGGGGCAGCACACACAGCGCGAGUUGUUUUGUGUAUGAACGGCCAGGCGACGGUGUCUGAACAUCUUUCCUUAAUUUUGCGAACGGAAACAGGGCACGAUGAACCUGGGAACUCACAAAAAUGAUGAGCAUAGAGCUCUGCGGGGUGCGGUAAGAAGGGGGGAGGGGAUGAAAAUAUCUUUGCAUGGGGUUUUGACUUGUGAGCCAUGCAAGUAUUUUACAUGUUCAAAACCUACAAUUAAGCCCCCAAGGAGGAACAAAAACUCAAACUGUAACUUGUCUUCCUAUCCAUCCACCGUCACCAGACAGCAGCAGCUUAAUGUAGAGGUGGAAUGGGUCACUGCAGCCACAGCACACAGCCACCUGGGGACAUGGCCUUAGAAGGCCAGGGCUCUGCCUUACAGGGAGCGGUGCAUGCUGUGAGCCAGAGACCACCACGUGG